CCUACGGGUGGCUGCAGUGGGGAAUAUUGCACAAUGGGCGCAAGCCUGAUGCAGCCAUGCCGCGUGUGUGAAGAAGGCCUUCGGGUUGUAAAGCACUUUCAGCGGGGAGGAAGGCGUUAAGGUUAAUAACCUUGGCGAUUGACGUUACCCGCAGAAGAAGCACCGGCUAACUCCGUGCCAGCAGCCGCGGUAAUACGGAGGGUGCAAGCGUUAAUCGGAAUUACUGGGCGUAAAGCGCACGCAGGCGGUCUGUCAAGUCGGAUGUGAAAUCCCCGGGCUCAACCUGGGAACUGCAUUCGAAACUGGCAGGCUAGAGUCUAGUAGAGGGGGGUAGAAUUCCAGGUGUAGCGGUGAAAUGCGUAGAGAUCUGGAGGAAUACCGGUGGCGAAGGCGGCCCCCUGGACAAAGACUGACGCUCAGGUGCGAAAGCGUGGGGAGCAAACAGGAUUAGAUACCCGUGUAGUC
rnacentral:rRNA from 1 species